rnacentral:lncRNA from 1 species
UACACCCUCACAGCUUUCAGCACACAAUUACCUUCAUUCCAAUCAUUGGAAUUCUUCACACAGAACUGCCAUUCACAUUACAGUAUUUCACACAAACACAGACUCAUUCUCUCUGCUGAACUACAAUCAGAUUUCAGCAUUCAAUCUUUCUUCUUCUCAAAUAAUACCAAUCACAUUUCUAUUCCAUAAUUCACUUCAUAAUAUUCAGAAACUUUCAAUCCUCUUAUUUAAAGAAAAUAACAAACAAAAGAAA